GACGAACGCUGGCGGCGUGCCUAACACAUGCAAGUCGAACGGGGUAGCAAUACCCAGUGGCGGACGGGUGCGUAACACGUGAGGAACAUGUCUUUCGGCGGGGAAUAGCCGGCCUAACGGCCGGGUAAUACCGCGUACGACGAUUGGGGCGCAUGCCUUGAUCGUGAAAGCAGCAAUGCACCGAUAGAGUGCCUCGCGGCCUAUCAGCUAGUUGGUGAGGUAAUGGCNCACCAAGGCGACGACGGGUAGCUGGUCUGAGAGGAUGAUCAGCCACAUUGGGACUGAGACACGGCCCAGACUCCUACGGGAGGCAGCAGUGGGGAAUAUUGCGCAAUGGGCGAAAGCCUGACGCAGCGACGCCGCGUGUGGGAUGAAGGUCUUCGGAUUGUAAACCACUGUCGGGAGGGACGAAUGCGCCGCAAGGCGAGUGAC
rnacentral:rRNA from 1 species